rnacentral:tRNA from 1 species
ACGGAUAUGAUGGAAUCGGUAGACAUGUCGGUCUUAGAAACCGAAUAUUAAGGGUUCAAGUCCCUUUAUCCGUA